UACGGGGGGAGCAAGCGUUGUUCGGAUUUACUGGGCGUAAGGGGCGCGUAGGCGGUCAGCACAAGUCAGUUGUGAAAUCUCCGGGCUUAACUCGGAAAGGUCAACUGAUACUGUGCGACUAGAGUGCGGAAGGGGCAACUGGAAUUCUCGGUGUAGCGGUGAAAUGCGUAGAUAUCGAGAGGAAGACCAGUGGCGAAGGCGGGUCUCUGGACAGUUCCUGACACUGAGGCACGAAGGCCAGGGGAGCAAACGGG
rnacentral:rRNA from 1 species